CUACGGGUGGCUGCAGUGGGGAAUAUUGCACAAUGGAGGAAACUCUGAUGCAGCAACGCCGCGUGGAGGAUGACACUUUUCGGAGCGUAAACUCCUUUUAUAUAGGAAGAAGAUGACGGUACUAUAUGAAUAAGCGCCCGCUAACUCCGUGCCAGCAGCCGCGGUAAUACGGAGGGCGCAAGCGUUAAUCGGAAUCACUGGGCGUAAAGAGCGUGUAGGCGGAUUAAAAAGUCAGAAGUGAAAUCCUAUAGCUUAACUAUAGAACUGCUUCUGAAACUCUUAAUCUAGAAUAUGGGAGAGGUAGAUGGAAUUUCUGGUGUAGGGGUAAAAUCCGUAGAGAUCAGAAGGAAUACCGAUUGCGAAGGCGAUCUACUAGAACAUUAUUGACGCUGAGACGCGAAAGCGUGGGGAGCAAACAGGAUUAGAUACCCCAGUAGUC
rnacentral:rRNA from 1 species